rnacentral:rRNA from 1 species
GACGAACGCUGGCGGCGUGCUUAACACAUGCAAGUCGAACGGAAAGGCCCUGCUUUUGUGGGGUGCUCGAGUGGCGAACGGGUGAGUAACACGUGAGUAACCUGCCCUUGACUUUGGGAUAACUUCAGGAAACUGGGGCUAAUACCGGAUAGGAGCUCCUGCUGCAUGGUGGGGGUUGGAAAGUUUCGGCGGUUGGGGAUGGACUCGCGGCUUAUCAGCUUGUUGGUGGGGUAGUGGCUUACCAAGGCUUUGACGGGUAGCCGGCCUGAGAGGGUGACCGGCCACAUUGGGACUGAGAUACGGCCCAGACUCCUACGGGAGGCAGAAGUGGGGAAUAUUGCAAAAUGGGCGGAAGCCUGAUGCAGCAACGACGCGUGCGGGAUGAAGGCCUUCGGGUUGUAAACCGCUUUCGCCUGUGACGAAGCGUGAGUGACGGUAAUGGGUAAAGAAGCACCGGCUAACUACGUG